rnacentral:misc_RNA from 1 species
AUGGGUCUCCUUUCAUUAAGAUAAAUGCUCUUGGACUUGCUUGUCUCCAUUUGAUGAGUCGAGUCCAGAAAUCAGAUUAUUGACUUCACUUACAGCAACCUUUACAGCAUACAGUGUCAUCUUCUUUACCUCAAGUUUAUCUUCUUUAGCUCUAUGGUUUUUUGGAAGCAUACGGAACUCUUCUGUCAACCGAAUGCAUUCUUGAACAUUGUCAGGGGAUACAAAAUCAAGGGCCACCUUUAUGCAUGACUGUCUAUUCCUCACUUGAUGCGGACACCCUGCUGGGAUGAAAACAGCCUCACCAAGGUGUUGCUCAAAUGUCCAAGGUUCAACAUUGAACUCCUCCUUCAGUUGUCUCUUGUGUCUUUCAUUUAGAUAAAAGGUCUGGUCAUGAAUAGGAUGAACAACGGAAUUCACAGGAAGAUUACUGAUAUGACGAAAUUCUUUCUGAUGCUUCUUCAGGUACUCAAUUAGCUUGGGUACAUCCUGCCUACGAAAAAUGUCCCAAACAGCACCACCAUUUAGAAGUUUUGCAGCAUGGUUUUCCUCAAGAUAUUUACUGGUCAUAGUUGUAUUUAAAUCAACUGAAUCCAAAUCAUUUGUUUCCCCCGCUACACCAACAACGCUGGUGCAUUUACCAUGUUGGUGAUUGAGAGAAUGACAGUUAUUCUUUGCCAACUUCAUUCCCAAAAUUUCCUCCAUUCCGUGAUCAUCGGAUGCAUCCAUAUGCAUACUUUCAGGUAACAAGUUAUCCCUAACAAGAUCACUACAUUCUGAUGAAAAUCCUUUCACUUCAUCCUGUUUCUUAAUCUUAACAUUUAUCUUCUCACAAUCAUUGUACCACAAGGAGCUGGAAUCAAGCAUAUGUGGAUCACAACAAGGCACCAUUGUAUCUACAUUUCCAACCAACUGCUCAUUUGUAUUUUCAAUUAUUGUUCCUGUGGAAGUAGAACAUUUCUGAGAAAAC